AGAGUUUGAUCCUGGCUCAGAUUGAACGCUGGCGGCAGGCCUAACACAUGCAAGUCGGGCGGUAACACAGGGAGCUUGCUCCUGGGUGACGAGCGGCGGACGGGUGAGUAAUGUCUGGGAAACUGCCUGAUGGAGGGGGAUAACUACUGGAAACGGUAGCUAAUACCGCAUAACGUCGCAAGACCAAAGAGGGGGACCUUCGGGCCUCUUGCCAUCAGAUGUGCCCAGAUGGGAUUAGCUAGUAGGUGGGGUAACGGCUCACCUAGGCGACGAUCCCUAGCUGGUCUGAGAGGAUGACCAGCCACACUGGAACUGAGACACGGUCCAGACUCCUACGGGAGGCAGCAGUGGGGAAUAUUGCACAAUGGGCGCAAGCCUGAUGCAGCCAUGCCGCGUGUAUGAAGAAGGCCUUCGGGUUGUAAAGUACUUUCAGCGGGGAGGAAGGUGUUGUGGUUAAUACCACAGCAAUUGACGUUACCCGCAGAAGAA
rnacentral:rRNA from 1 species